rnacentral:lncRNA from 1 species
UAUAAUAUGAAUUUUGUGUUUAAUUCUUUGUCCUCACACCUUGCAAAUGAUACUGAAAUCAUACCAGGAAGAAUUCAAAGGAGGAUAGAGUAAACAUUAGGUCAUAAUAAUACGUGUCUGAGAAAAGAUUAUGGAAAUUACACCUUGCAAAUCAACUAGAGAUUAAUUAACAUAAUAAUACGUGUCUGAGAAAAGAUUAUGGAAAUUACACCUUGCAAAUCAACUAGAGAUUAAUUAACAAAGGAAUGAAUACUAAAUCAAACAGGACCUUGAUAUAAAUCGGGUAUUGGAAUUUUUUUUAAGGAAGAAACUGAGAAUAAGAGCUGUUCUUUUACUUAAUUUUUGCGGAU